AUUGAACGCUGGCGGCAGGCCUAACACAUGCAAGUCGAACGGUAACAGGAAACAGCUUGCUGUUUCGCUGACGAGUGGCGGACGGGUGAGUAAUGUCUGGGAAACUGCCUGAUGGAGGGGGAUAACUACUGGAAACGGUAGCUAAUACCGCAUAACGUCGCAAGACCAAAGAGGGGGACCCUCGGGCCUCUUGCCAUCGGAUGUGCCCAGAUGGGAUUAGCUUGUUGGUGGGGUAACGGCUCACCAAGGCGACGAUCCCUAGCUGGUCUGAGAGGAUGACCAGCCACACUGGAACUGAGACACGGUCCAGACUCCUACGGGAGGCAGCAGUGGGGAAUAUUGCCCAAUGGGCGCAAGCCUGAUGCAGCCAUGCCGCGUGUAUGAAGAAGGCCUUCGGGUUGUAAAGUACUUUCAGCGGGGAGGAAGGGAGUAAAGUUAAUACCUUGGCUCAUUGACGUUACCCGCAGAAGAAGCACCGGCUAACUCCGUG
rnacentral:rRNA from 1 species